AUCGCUUCUUAUUGUGGUUUAUAAGAAAUGCGAAUUUUGCAUUAAUUUAUUUAAUUUUAUAAAAUGUUGUGUAUAAAUCUAGUACUUGCUACACUAAUAAUUGGGAAGUCGAGACGAGUGAGUUAGGGAGGCCAGCCCAGAGAUUACCAGAGGAGGAGGAGGAGGAGGAGGACAGCCACUGCCACCCUUGUUUGGAAAGAGGAAAGCAGGCAAACUCUAAGAGGAGCUAUCAGUUGUCCCCCGUCAUUCCCCAAUCGCUUUUGGGGUUUUAGUCUUUGCAGAUUCCUUCCCUUUUUAAGGAACAAAGCAGUUCGAAAAAUUAUAUCAUCAUGUCACAAUUUUAAGAACAGAAGCAACUCAGCUGCUAAAACAGACAUGAGCCAAACUCAAUUGAACAGCCAUUUCUCAAUUCAACUUUGUACGAGGGAUUCCUUUCCACUCUGCAGUCACAUUUAUCACCAACUCCAGUACUUCAGGAGCAAUGUCAACAGCAGAAACAUGUCUGUUUUUGAAGACAAUCAAGUUCCUAGCUCUCCACAACUGAUUUAUAACAGCAGCAAACACCACUCUCCUUAUGGAUGGAGUAAAAGAGGUAAAGAUUAAAGAAAGAAGCCCCCAGCUGAUUCAUGGCUUUGUUUAUUUGCAGAAUAAAUCAGUUCUUGGAGAAAUGGGAGGAGGUGGCAGGAUUAGGUUAUGAUGUUUUAUUUGUUCGUCCUGUUAAAACAUAUUUGUCUUGAUGAUCAGUCUAAUUGCUUUUUAAUUGGCAUUUUGAUUUUGGUAAGAGAUGAAAGGUAAUGAUCAUCGAGAGCUAGGUCUGACUGCAGCAAGCAAAUGUGUUUCAAUUUUGUUGUUAUUAUGUUCUUAUUCCCCAAGACUGUCUUAGUGGUCAAACAUUAUAGUAGGAGGAGGAAUGCCCACUUUUUAUCUUCCGAUUGCUACUAAUGGCUGAUGGUAAGUUGGUAACUGAAACCUACUUUGAUGGUGAGCGACAGGCCCCUGUUAGUAGCUAACUACUACUAUUUUUUAUCUCAUAACACUCCCUAAUAUGAUGCUGAAUUUCCCGUA